rnacentral:rRNA from 1 species
UACGUAGGGGGCAAGCGUUGUCCGGAAUCAUUGGGCGUAAAGCGCGUGUAGGCGGCCAGGUAAGUCCGUUCUGAAAGCCCGGGGCUCAACCCCGGGAGGCGGAUGGAUACUGCUUGGCUCGAGUCCGGAAGAGGUGAGUGGAAUUCCCGGUGUAGCGGUGAAAUGCGCAGAUAUCGGGAGGAACACCAAUGGCGAAGGCAGCUCACGUGGACGGUACGUG